rnacentral:rRNA from 1 species
GCGGAUGAAGGGAGCUUGCUCCUGAAUUCAGCGGCGGACGGGUGAGUAAUGCCUAGGAAUCUGCCUGGUAGUGGGGGACAACGUUUCGAAAGGAACGCUAAUACCGCAUACGUCCUACGGGAGAAAGCAGGGGACCUUCGGGCCUUGCGCUAUCAGAUGAGCCUAGGUCGGAUUAGCUAGUUGGUGAGGUAAUGGCUCACCAAGGCGACGAUCCGUAACUGGUCUGAGAGGAUGAUCAGUCACACUGGAACUGAGACACGGUCCAGACUCCUACGGGAGGCAGCAGUGGGGAAUAUUGGACAAUGGGCGAAAGCCUGAUCCAGCCAUGCCGCGUGUGUGAAGAAGGUCUUCGGAUUGUAAAGCACUUUAAGUUGGGAGGAAGGGUUGUAGAUUAAUACUCUGCAAUUUUGACGUUACCGACAGAAUAAGCACCGGCUAACUCUGUGCCAGCAGCCGCGGUAA